GCAGUUAUAGCUCAGUUGGUUAGAGCGCCUGGUUGUGGACCAGGAGGUCGCAGGUUCGAGCCCCGCUAACUGUACCA
rnacentral:tRNA from 1 species